rnacentral:rRNA from 1 species
AUUGAACGCUGGCGGCAGGCCUAACACAUGCAAGUCGAGCGGGGCGGCGGACGGGUGAGUAAUGCCUAGGAAUCUGCCUGGUAGUGGGGGAUAGCGUCCGGAUACGGACGCUAAUACCGCAGACUUGCAGAUGGGCCUAGGUCGGAUUGGCUAGUUGGUGGGUUAAAGGCCUACCAAGGCGACGAACCGUAACUGGUCUGAGAGGAUGAUCAGUCACACUGGAACUGAGACACGGUCCAGACUCCUACGGGAGGCAGCAGUGGGGAAUAUUGGACAAGGGGCGAAAGCCUGAUCCAGCCAUGCCGCGUGGGUGAAGAAGGUCUUCGGAUUGUAAAGCACUUUAAGUUGGGAGGCGUUACCAACAGAAUAAGCACCGGCUAACUCCGUGCCAGCAGCCGCGGUAAUUC